rnacentral:rRNA from 1 species
UACGGAGGGGGCUAGCGUUGUUCGGAAUUACUGGGCGUAAAGCGCAAGUAGGCGGCUUUGUAAGUUAGAGGUGAAAGCCCAGGGCUUAACCCUGGAAUUGCCUUUAAGACUGCAUCGCUCGAAUUGUGGAGAGGUGAGUGGAAUUCCGAGUGUAGAGGUGAAAUUCGUAGAUAUUCGGAAGAACACCAGUGGCGAAGGCGACUUACUGGACACAUAUUGACGCUGAGGUGCGAAAGCGUGGGGAGCAAACAGG